GAUGAACGCUAGCUACAGGCUUAACACAUGCAAGUCGAGGGACCGGCGCACGGGUGAGUAACACGUAUCCAACCUGCCCUUUACUCGGGGAUAGACUUUCGAAAGAAAGAUUAAUACCCGAUAUAAAGGAUGGGGAUGCGUUCCAUUAGGUUGUUGGUGAGGUAACGGCCAACCAAGCCUGCGAUGGAUAGGGGUUCGGAGAGGAAGUUCCCCCGCAUUGGAACUGAGACACGGUCCAAACUCCUACGGAAGUCAGCAGUGAGGAAUAUUGGUCAAUGAGCGUUAGCCUGAACCAGCCAAGUAGCGUGAAGAAUGAAUGCUUAUGGGUCGUAAACUUCUUUUGUAUAAGAAUAUGUAUUAUAUGAAUAAGGAUCGGCUAACUCCGUGCCAGCAGCCGCGGUAAUUC
rnacentral:rRNA from 1 species